CUGGAACAGCCGCGCGCGAGUCGGAGCUCCACGGCCGCGCGCCUCGAGCACGCGGAAGCGGCGCUCGUCGGCCGCGUGCCUCGUCGGGCCGCGCGUCUCAAGCAUGCGGAGGCGGCGCUCGUCGACCGCGCGUCUCGACGACGCGGGAACAGCCACGCGCGAAGCGGACCUCGACGACGCGGAGCCGGCUCUACUUCGGCUUCAACUCCGACGACGAUGGCGUGCUCCCCUCCCCUCCGAGCUCGCGACGAGGAGGCCGAUCUGGCGAAAGUUCCCACACUGCCGUGA
rnacentral:misc_RNA from 1 species